ACUCCUGGAGGAAUUCCAGAGGAACUCCUGGAGGAAUUCCAGAGGAACUCCUGGAGGAAUUCCAGAGGAACUCCUGGAGGAAUUCCAGAGGAACUCCUGGAGGAAUUACCGACGAACUCCUGGAGGAAUUCCAGAGGAACUGCUGGAGGAAUUCUCGGGGAACUCUAGGAGGAAUUCCCAAGAAACUCCUGGAGGAAUUACCGAGGAACUCCUAGUGAAUCUCCCAAAAAACUCCUGGAGGAAUUCCCGAGGAACUCCAGAAAGAAUUCCCGAGGAACUCCUGGAGGAAUUCCCGAGGAACUCCCGGAAGAAUUCUCGAGGAACUCCUGGAGGAAUUCCCGAGGAACUCCUGGAGGAAUUCCCGAAGAACUCCUGGAGAAAUUCCCGAGGAACUCCUGAAGAAAUUCCCGAGGAACUCCUGGAGAAAUUCCCGAGGAACUCCUGGAGAAAUUCCCGAGGAACUCCUGGAGAAAUUCCCGAGGAACUUCUGGAGGAAUUCCCGAGGAACUCCUGGAGGAAUUCCCGAGGAACUCCUGGAGGAAUUCCCGAGGAACUCCUGGAGGAACUCCCGAGGAACUCCUGGAGGAAUUCCCGAGGAACUCUUGGAGGAAUUCCCGAGGAACUGCUGGAGGAAUUGUCGAGGAACUCCUGGAGGAAAUACUGAGGAACUUCUGAAGUAAUUUUCGGGGAACUAUUGGAGGGAUUCCCAGGAAACUCCUGAAAGAAUUCCCGAGAACUCCUGGAGGAAUUCUCGGGGAACUCCUAGAAGAAUUUUUGGAGAACUCCUGGAGGAAUUACUGAGGAAUUCCUGAGGAACUUCUGGAGUAAUUCUCAGGAAACUAUGGGAGGGAUUCCCAGGAAACUCCUGAAAGAAUUCCCGAAAAUCUCCUGCAAGAAUUCUCGAGGAAUUCUCUGAAAAUUCCAGAGAAACUUCUCGCUGGAGGAUUUCUCAAGAUACUCCUGAAGGGGGAACUCCUGGAGGAAGUAUUCCCGGGGUACUUUUUGAGGCAUUUCCAGGGAACUCCUGGAAGAAUUCCCGAGGAACUCCAGUAGGAAUUCCCGGGGAUCUCCUGCAAGAAUUCUCGGGGAGUUCCUGAGAAAACAAGCGGAGGAACUCCCGGGAUUCUCCUGGAGGAAUUACUGGGGAAUUCCCGGGGAACUGUUGAUAAAAUUCCCGAGGCACUCCAGGAGAAAUUUUCGGGUAACUCCUGGAGGAAUUCCCGGGAAACUCCUGUAUAAAUUCUCGGGGAACUCCUGUAGAUAUCUUAGGGUAACUCCUGGAGGAAUUCCAAAGAUACUAGUGGAGGAAAUUUCCAGGAUCUCCUGUAGAAAUUCCCUUAUUCUACAGGCCUCUAGAACCGGCCUUCUGAUACCUGAUCGUGCGGUUGAUGGCACAUUGAAUCGCUGUUUCUUCGAGAGGGCUACUUACAGUAACUUCUGCUCAGGGAGAAACGAUUUUUAUUGCACUAAAUAAUGUAUAUAAAUAAAUGAAUUUAAGUAAAACAUUCUAGGUUUAUAAUUUAUUAACAUCCGAAAUAAUUUUCAUCCAUAGGUAUAAUAACUGUUGACAUUUUCUUAAUGCUUGAUGAGAGAAGUUUUCUUAAUGCUUUUAUCAACAUCUACAUAUUGUAAUCAGCAUU